rnacentral:rRNA from 1 species
CAGCCGCCGCGGUAAUACCAGCUCUCCGAGUGGUGUGGACGUUUAUUGGGCCUAAAGCAUCCGUAGCUGGCUGAACAAGUCCCCUGUUAAACCCACCGAUUUAAUCGUUGGCUUGCGGGGGAAACUGCUCGGCUAGGGGGCGAGAGAGGCAGACGGUAUUCCCGGGGUAGGGGUGAAAUCCUAUAAUCCCGGGAAGACCACCAGUGGCGAAGGCUGUCUGCUAGAACGCGCCCGACGGUGAGGGAUGAAAGCUGGGGGAGCGAACCGGAUUAGAUACCCGGGCAGUCCCAGCUGUAAACGAUGCAGGCUAGGUGUUUGGACGGCCACGUGCCGUUCUAGUGCCGCAGGGAAGCUGUUAAGCCUGCCGCCUGGGGAGUACGAUCGCAAGAUUGAAACUUAAAGGAAUUGGCGGGGGAGCAC